rnacentral:lncRNA from 1 species
AUUUCUUUCUGGGAUGGGCCCCUAUCUAGGAGUUUUUUUUCCCUUGGAACCUUGGAGAAUGACUCAUGAGGACUUUCAAUGGGCAGCAAGUGCCCUGGUGACAUAGGGUCACAUCCUGUUACUCAAGAAGGCAGGUCCUGGGUAGAUCCCAGGGAGGCAUCUUGGAGAGAGGUAUCACCUCAGAGCUGGAGAAAUGUCAAGCUAGUUGAAUAACAGGCACCAAAGGUUUUGAGGGGUGCAGAGCGAAGAGCCUUGGGCUGAGAGUUUGAGUCCUGACUGUUUCAGUGAGACCAGCAAGCGCUUUCUCUCUCCAGCUUCUCCAUUUCCACCUUUGCAAACUCUGGACUCCAAGGACGCAAGAUGGCCGGAAACAAGAUGGUGGAGCAUGAAGGCCCUUGCCAGAUGACAGCACUAUGCCCUUGGACUCCCCAGCCUCCAUAACCAUGGGCCAAAUAAACUUCUAUUGUUUUAAAUUGCCCAGUCUGUGGUAUUCUAUCAUAACAGCACAAAAUAGACUAAAACAAUGCUCUACACUGGCUGCCAGAGUUCCCUGAUGGGAUUGUGCUCCAGUUGUCCACAGUAGUAACUUGCUGGAUAAUACUUCCUGUUUCCGCAGGCUUCUCUUCUCUGUCUCAUUCCCUCAAUCCCCUAAUGGUGCUUUCUGGGAUCAUCUCCCAAAUAAUCCACUUGCACCUCAAAUCCUCAUCUCAGAGUCUGCUUCUGAGGGAGCCCAAACAAAGGCAUGAAACCUUUCCCAUUCCCCAGUCUCAGUCUAUAUGGUUAAAGUGGGCCUGAACCCCAUUCUAGGAUGGGUCAGACUCAGGUCUGACCAAUGACACCACCAUACCUCUUUUAGGUACAGGGAUGGUUCAGGGAUGACCAUUUGAACUCAAAC